rnacentral:rRNA from 1 species
AGUGAACGCUGGCGGUAGGCCUAACACAUGCAAGUCGAACGGCAGCACAGUAAGAGCUUGCUCUUACGGGUGGCGAGUGGCGGACGGGUGAGGAAUACAUCGGAAUCUACUUUUUCGUGGGGGAUAACGUAGGGAAACUUACGCUAAUACCGCAUACGACCUACGGGUGAAAGCAGUGGAUCUUCGGACCUUGCGCGUUUGAAUGAGCCGAUGCCGGAUUAGCUAGUUGGCGGGGUAAAGGCCCACCAAGGCGACGAUCCGUAGCUGGGCUGAGAGGAUGAUCGGCCACACUGGAACUGAGACACGGUCCAGACUCCUACGGGAGGCAGCAGUAGGGAAUUUUUGGCAAUGGGGGAAAGCCUGACGCCGCCCAGCCGCGUGAGUGAAGAAGGUCUUCGGAUUUUAAAACCCUUUUUUUAGGGAAGAACAAACGUGUGAGUAACUCCGCGCUUUUUGACGGUACCCAAAAAGAAAGCCACGGCUAACUUCGUG